AAAAAGUGAAAAGGACUCUUUGAGGAAAGUGAAAUAUGAUAUGAUAACUAAAUACUAUCCGAAUAACAUAAGGUAACACAACAAAACAUGCCUGUUAACCUCCUCUGUGGGCGAUUUGACAAAGCAUUUACUACCAAGGUAUACAAAACCUUGUCCUAUUCAAUAUGCUUCUCAUUGUAUCCAUAAUAAAAUCGCAGUGCUUCGGCAAUUCUUGAU
rnacentral:rRNA from 15 species